rnacentral:rRNA from 1 species
AGAACGAACGCUGGCGGCAGGCCUAACACAUGCAAGUCGAACGGGACCUUCGGGUCUAGUGGCAGACGGGUGAGUAACGCGUGGGAAUCUACCCAUCUCUACGGAACAACUCCGGGAAACUGGAGCUAAUACCGUAUACGUCCUUCGGGAGAAAGAUUUAUCGGAGAUGGAUGAGCCCGCGUUGGAUUAGCUAGUUGGUGGGGUAAUGGCCUACCAAGGCGACGAUCCAUAGCUGGUCUGAGAGGAUGAUCAGCCACACUGGGACUGAGACACGGCCCAGACUCCUACGGGAGGCAGCAGUGGGGAAUAUUGGACAAUGGGCGCAAGCCUGAUCCAGCCAUGCCGCGUGAGUGAUGAAGGCCCUAGGGUUGUAAAGCUCUUUCAACGGUGAAGAUAAUGACGGUAACCGUAGAAGAAGCCCCGGCUAACUUCGUG